rnacentral:rRNA from 1 species
GUGGGGAAUCUUAGACAAUGGGGGAAACCCUGAUCUAGCCAUGCCGCGUGAUCGAUGAAGGCCUUAGGGUUGUAAAGAUCUUUCAGCUGGGAAGAUAAUGACUGUACCAGCAGAAGAAGCCCCGGCUAACUCCGUGCCAGCAGCCGCGGUAAUACGGAGGGGGCUAGCGUUGUUCGGAAUUACUGGGCGUAAAGCGCACGUAGGCGGACCAGAAAGUCAGGGGUGAAAUCACGGGGCUCAACCCCGGAACUGCCUUUGAAACUCCUGAUCUUGAGGUCGAGAGAGGUGAGUGGAAUUCCGAGUGUAGAGGUGAAAUUCGUAGAUAUUCGGAGGAACACCAGUGGCGAAGGCGGCUCACUGGCUCGAUACUGACGCUGAGGUGCGAAAGCGUGGGGAGCAAACAGGAUUAGAUACCCCGGUAGUCC